GGAAUCUGCAGCCUAUUUGAUCUCCCUCGCGUCCACUUUGGCUUUCAUAACAAUCUCAACUCUACACUAGAGCAGGCCUCAUUUGAUCCUCAUUCUACACGCAACAGGGAUUUUUAAUUACAAAAUGGAGGAAUUCAUGUCGAAAGGUCUUCAAGAAAUUGAGCGGAGCAUGGCCCGAGACGGGGGUGGGAUUGACUUCAAGUUGGUUUUGUGGUACGUUGCUGCCAUUGCUUUUGUGGGAUUUCUGCUGAAAUCCUUGUCCGACGGUGGUCACGGGGGUGGUUGGGGACGAAGGAGGCGAAGCGGUCUCCAUCCCGAAAAGAUGGACCGUGCCAUGGAACAAGUUUUUCGACAGGGUGGCAAUCCUCAAUACCAAAUUUAAAAAUGGAAGUAUAAUUGUUGACUAUUAAGUAAUUGGUUUAUUUUUUCGAUUUGUUAUAUUUAUAUUUUGUUGUUACGUCUUGUUCUUGCUGGUACAACGUUGCUUAUCGUGUAAUAUUUAAUAUCGAAUAACGCAAAAUAAAAUACAGUAUUAUUUUUUUGAUUAAAUUUAAA